rnacentral:tRNA from 1 species
GGGCCCAUAGCUCAGUUGGUAGAGCAACUGACUUUUAAUCAGUGGGUCGCAGGUUCGAAUCCUGCUGGGCUCA